rnacentral:rRNA from 1 species
UUCUGGGAGGAUUGACAGAUUGAGAGCUCUUUCUUGAUUCGCUGGAUAGGGGUGGAUGUCUAUUCUUAGUUGGUGGAGCGAUUUGUCUGGUUAAUUCCGAUAACGAGCGAGAAUCUAGCCUAUUAAAUAGGUGCGCUGUUCUCUGCACCUUGCAAGCGGCUUUUAGCCGCAAGAAACAGAGCAAUAACAGGUCUGUGAUGCCCUUAGAU